ACAUUUGAGUGAGUGGCGAACUGGUGAGUAACACGUGGGAAACCUGCCCAGAAGCGGGGGAUAACACCUGGAAACAGAUGCUAAUACCGCAUAACAACUUGGACCGCAUGGUCCGAGYUUGAAAGAUGGCUUCGGCUAUCACUUYUGGAUGGUCCCGCGGCGUAUUAGCUAGAUGGUGRGGUAACGGCUCACCAUGGCAAUGAUACGUAGCCGACCUGAGAGGGUAAUCGGCCACAUUGGGACUGAGACACGGCCCAAACUCCUACGGGAGGCAGCAGUAGGGAAUCUUCCACAAUGGACGAAAGUCUGAUGGAGCAACGCCGCGUGAGUGAAGAAGGGUUUCGGCUCGUAAAACUCUGUUGUUAAAGAAGAACAUAUCUGAGAGUANCUGUUCAGGUAUUGACGGUAUUUAACCAGAAAGCCACGGCUAACUACGUGCCAGCAGCCGC
rnacentral:rRNA from 1 species